rnacentral:rRNA from 1 species
AAGCGUGCGCAGGCGGUUUUGUAAGACUGUCGUGAAAUCCCCGGGCCUCAACCUGGGAAUGGCGAUGGUGACUGCAAGGCUAGAGUUUGGCAGAGGGGGGUAGAAUUCCACGUGUAGCAGUGAAAUGCGUAGAUAUGUGGAGGAACACCGAUGGCGAAGGCAGCCCCCUGGGUCAAAACUGACGCUCAUGCACGAAAGCGUGGGGAGCAAACAGGAUUAGAUACCCCUGU